CGCAUACAGUUAGCUCUUGAUGCACUUUACUCCAAGAGCCCAACGAAAUCAGCUAGCCGAACGAGAUAAUUGCAAAUCGCCAUUAUUUAUAGAAGUGUCGGUAAACUGUGCUACGGCUCUCCUAGUUCUCUUCUCUUCGAAAGUGUUCUUCAACCUCGUUAAUUCCGUUCCGAUGAGCAAUCCACCCGAUAUAGGAAACACACAGAGAAUAUCUAGACUAGAAAAUUGUCUGUGAAAUAUGUCGAUACGAACGAAACCACGAUGACUAUUAUUUUACUGGUUUGCCGCAUAGAUAAACAUAAUUGACUACAUAAACAGAAAAUGGCCAUACCAAAAGAUGACGACGAGAGCAACCAAGACUAUCUUUUCUACUCUCGUCAACGAAGGAUUUAAGACAUUGCCGGCUUGGGUUACACAUCACGGAUAAAAGGAGGAGAUACGUUUCUCAUGUUUUGCCGAGAAAUUCUCGUAAAUUCUUCAACAUGGACCAACCUUUCCUCGUCCUCCAUUCUCGCAUAUCCUUUACCAUAGAAUGUUAGGACCGACUAAGGUGUCGUAAAAAAGAGGGGAAAGAGAUUUAUGCUUGGAUUUGUUUAAUUGUUUUAGUCUCGUCGCCGUGAGAUCCACGAAUUCGCGUACUAAAUAACAAACUCCCCCAAUGGGGGUAUUUCAAAUAAAAGAAAAAAAGAGAGAGAGAGAAAGAAAAAGAAAAAAAACAGAAGCGAGAGAAAGAUACGUAGCUAAAUGUUACGACGAUUGAAAAAUAGCACUCGAAACGAAUACCUAUGUAUUCGUAUUUUCAAAUCGAGAGAAAUCGUUGUCGAUUCGUCCGAUGUUCCAAUGCAUCUGCAUCGCAAUGUUUCAAUGGGGAAGAUCGAGAGACUCAGAGUACAUCGUGAUAAUUUAAUGGAAUCCAAAGGAGGAGUAUGGAUAUUUUAUUCUUUUCUUUUUUUUAUAGAGUGACUGUAGGGAAAAGAAAAAUAAAAUAAAGCAAAAAAGAGAGAAAGAAAUCGAAAGGAUAACAGUGAGUCAGUGGUCGUUGUAAAAAAAAAAAGAAAGAGAAAAAAACGUUUCAAAGAUUCACAGUUCUUGUCGGACAUCUCGGGUUAAAGGUUUUACGAACGAACCGAUACAAACGGGUCACACUGCACCUCCUAACGAUGUAAUCAUUUAAUGGACUUUCUCGUCGUAAGCGAUGAACCGUCAAGAAAAUCCAAGACGAGGGAUGAAAGUACGCGGUAAAUUCAACUCUUUUUCAUCGGCGCACCGAACGAUCCGUUCUUUGAUAUAGAAAAGGAUGGAGAGGAAGAGGAAAGUAAAAAGUUACGUUAGGAAAUAACACGAAAGCCUUCGAGUUUAGCAAACAAAAUUAAAUUACUCUGAAUAUAUAACUUUUACGUAUCUACGCGACCCCAUCUCCCGUCUAUAUCUACGAUAUUCUAAUCUAAUAACUUACUAUACAACUCAUUGUACAAUAUAUCAUCUACAAAUGUAUCGUCGACCAAAAUUAUGUUAUUAUAGAAUCUUUCCAAUUGAUUCUAUAUGAAAUAUAUUACAAAAUAUUAUUUAUAUCGUAUGACGAAUUAUCGGGCUUGAUUUUUAAUAAAUUUCUUUGUAAUUACACAAGAGAUUUUCGUGUCAACGAAAAAAGAAAAAUUGUUGGACGUAUCAGAAUACUUGUAACGUUUCCUAAAGGCACAAAAAGAUAUGAUGCUUUUACAGUAAACACGAUGCAUAAAUCUGUCCAGUCGUUGUUCUUCAUCGAAGCGUAUAAAAAAUAUGUCAAGCUUUUAUAUAUACAGAUAAAUACACACACAUGUAUAUAUAUAUACAUAUAUAUAUAAACACUCAUGUUAUACAUGAGCCUAUACAUGAGUCCGUAACAUAAGACCGUACAUAAGCCCCAUUACAUGAGUCCGUACAUGAACCGGUAAAUACAUAUGUAUCGAAUACAUAUCCAAGAUUCAAGAACAGCUUCCUCAAAGUUCGCAUUAAAAUGCUGAUAUGUUAAUGAGCAUCCAUAUAUACGAGAUAUUAUACACGAUUCACCGCUGAAGUUUCGAACGUAUAAUACGUUUAAUAUUAUUAUGCGACGAAGAGUACGAUAAUGUAUAGCUCGUGCAGCUACUCCAACUCUGUUAAUAUUUAUCGGUUUUACUCUACGUACUCCUAUCCGAAUGAAUAACAAAAUGCGAUACUCCUUCAAUAUAUUCAUAGAUUUAUCACGUUUAUAAUAUCACUUUGUUUCUUUUCAUUUUUAUUUUUAUCUCUCGCUUUUGUAUUUAUUUAUUUUAUUUUUCUUUUCUUUUCUUUUCUUUUCUUUGCUUUUUUUCUUUUUAAUAAACCAUCAGAACGUAUCCAUAAUAUAUAUUACAUAUAUAUAUAUAUAUGUUCGUUAAACAUUUAUUAUAUAUUAAUAUAAUCGAAGUAUUAUAUUUCUUAAACAUAACUUAAUGCUCGUUUUCUUUUCUUUCUCUCACUUUUCUUUUCUUUCUUUUUUUCCUUUCUCCUUUAAGUUUACGAUCUCGGAGCAUAGAUAUCGUUCAUGAAAACGACGGAUACAGACAGAAGACUACCUCCUGCCAAGAAUGAUUCUAGAAAGAGUCGAUAUCCCGCGGGUGUAUAUACGAUGGAAAUUUAUUUCGACCAAAUAAAAGACGAAUAAUACCACGAAAAUCUUCUGAAAGAAAGCUACGGAAAUAUACGGUAACAUCUGACGCGAAUCGAUAAGCUGCCAAUUCGAGAUGUUUACAAAUAGGAUUUGAAAAAUCAAUAAUAAUACUUUUCUAUAGUUCUUUUUAAAUCCAAUCUAUUUGUUAGAAAUAUAUAUCUAUACACACACAUGUAUAUAUAAUAUAUAUACACGUAUAGUUUUCUAUAUUUAUGAAACAGUACAAAGAAUUCGAGAUAUUAAACGUACGCGAGUAUUAAUUUAAAAUCACAUUCGUUUAAAAGGAAUUUACAUUAAUGCAUCCGUAGAAAUCAACGAAAAAGUAGCAACGAACGUGUUAACGUGUAGCAACAAACGUUAUUUUACCGAGUACUCGAAAACGAGAUAGAUAGAAGCCAUAUUCGAACUAUUCAUAUAUAUAUAUAUACACAUCGUGUCAACAUUUAUUAUUCACGACACAUCACAAGUUGGGAAAAGAGAGAAAGAGAGAGAAAGUGAGAGAAAGAGAGAGAUAGUGCACAGUGUCAAUUUUAAUAGCUCUCAUAUAGUCCUGACUGGCCAACGUGCUUUCAUAGUUUUAGGGAUUGUAAAUUGGAAUACAAGUGGCUAUUGUCGCUAUUAUUAAAUGAUUUUAACACGACUGACGUGAGCAACGUUAAUAUCCUCGUCAUUGUGAUUUUCUAAGUAAAUAUAUCUAUUAUAUAAAUUUCUAAAGAAAGAAAAAAAGCACACACACCUACACACUCAUAAACACAAAAGAGAAAAAAAAGAAAAAGUGUAUCUCGAACGAUGUUAACGAUCAAAAAUCUUUUCUCUUCUUAUUUUCACGUUAGACCCAGACGAAAAGAGAACGACCCAAGAGAUAUGUAAAAUAAUAUCUUAUCGGACUUGGAAAACCUCAAGAAAGUCUAACAUACUUCGUGAAAUCUCCUCCAACUCGUUUUCCCAAGCUCGUCCAUUUUCUACUUUGCAACUUGCCUUUCUCCUACGGUUACCCAUCUUUUUCCUUUGCUUCUCCUAUUAUUCGAGCCGUCAUCCAACCUUAUUCUCAUCCGUUUAACCGUAAGAUCCACAAUUGCAUAUAUCUCGAACGUUGAAUCUCUGAAACGGACAUGUUACUGAUCAAAACUGUUCGAGCUCGUGUCGUAUUUUUGACGUUUGACGUGAAAUCGAUUUUUAAAAAUGUAUAUUAGAUUAUUUUAACAAGAUAUGUAAAUAUAUAUAUAUAUAUACACAUGGUAUCUACAUAUAUAGAUUCGUAAAAGAAAAAUAACAAACGAAAUAGGUAGAUAUCCUUAUAUUACAAUUUGGUACUCUAACCGGACAUCAUCGGAUUUACGAAAAGGACAUCGCGAGAAAUCGCUUAUCGAACCGUAUAAAACGAAUCGAUGUUCGGUCGAUUGGAAAUUGAUCUUCGACAGGAAGGUCGAAGAUGACUUAUCACGAGAUAUCUUCCGUUUCCACAUAGUGAGAAAGGUUAUUGACCUCGACCGAUGUAUACACAUAUUUUCUCGUGUUUAAACAAACGGAAAUAUCUCAACUUGUACAUAUCGCUUUAUUUAUUUCAAACUUUUUUGACAAAAUUGUUAAUACGUAUCCCUCAUAUAUAUAUAUAUAUAUAUAUAUAUGUGUGUGUGUGUGUGUGUGUACAUAAUACAUAUGUACGCAGAUACAUACAUAUAUACAUGUUAUAUCUAUACCGC